UCAUUCUUUCCAAGAUUGCGGCCAACUCCCAUGCUCUGCCUACCUUUUGGAUUGCUGGUCUCAGGUGCUAGGCUUGCUGGUUCUGGAUGUUGUGCCGGCUUCACUGUCACUGUGGUCUGCACGUGAUGAACCAGAGCCCGCUUCCAACAGCCCACAUUCGCACAAUGACCAUGACCUGGUUAUGCUAGCAAUGUCUGACCCUGCUUUGCUCAACUCAUAGAAGCUGCUGCAGCUUGCAAAGGCCAUCUGUCACACGGCAUCUAAGAGCAUCGAGCAUGCUGAACCAGCAGCCAAGUUUUGCCACCAGAUUGCUUUGGUAACUACCUCGCUUACUUUUUGCGGCAGCAAUCUGGGCCCUGUCGUGAGCCUAAAUGGGGAUAAUCAGCAGGGCUUACACUGAGAAGGACAAAGAAAUGAGGCUGUUGCUUU
rnacentral:lncRNA from 1 species